rnacentral:rRNA from 1 species
UCCGGCAUGCGAUUCUUAGCAGUCCCACGGUAACAUGGGUGCUUGCACCUGAUGACGAGUGGCGAACGGGUGAGUAAUACAUCGGAACGUGCCUGGUAGUGGGGGACAACUGCUCGAGAGAGCAGCUAAUACCGCAUGACAUCUUAGGAUAAAAGUGGGGGACCUUCGGGCCUCACGCUAUCAGAGCGGCCGAUGGCAGAUUAGGUAGUUGGUGGGGUAAAGGCCUACCAAGCCUGCGAUCUGUAGCUGGUCUGAGAGGACGACCAGCCACACUGGGACUGAGACACGGCCCAGACUCCUACGGGAGGCAGCAGUGGGGAAUUUUGGACAAUGGGCGCAAGCCUGAUCCAGCAAUGCCGCGUGCAGGACGAAGGCCUUCGGGUUGUAAACUGCUUUUGUACAGAACGAAAAAGCCCUGGUUAAUACCUGGGGCUCAUGACGGUACUGUAAGAAUAAGCACCGGCUAACUACGUGCCAGCAGCCGCGGUAAU